UUUUUUACCAUGCCAGAGUCUACAAAUGGGGCCAUAAGUUUGGGAAAGAGAUGCAAAAUAGGUGUGAAGUUGAGGAUCAAGAGAAUGGAGAUUACCUACCAAGGGCAAAGCUUUAGGCCCUGGUGGCAAUCUCUUGUUUGAGUUACUGAUGAAAAACCA